UACGGGGGGGGCAAGCGUUGUUCGGAAUUACUGGGCGUAAAGGGCUCGUAGGCGGCCAACUAAGUCAGACGUGAAAUCCCUCGGCUUAACCGGGGAACUGCAUCUGAUACUGGAUGGCUUGAGUUCGGGAGAGGGAUGUGGAAUUCCAGGUGUAGCGGUGGAAUGCGCAGAUAUCAGGAAGAACACCAACGGCGAAGGCAGCUCGCUGGGACGGUACUGACGCUGAGACGCGAAAGCGUGGGGAGCGAACAGG
rnacentral:rRNA from 1 species